UACGUACUGUGCGAACGUUAUUCGGAAUCACUGGGCUUAAAGGGUGCGUAGGCGGCCAAUUAAGUAGGGUGUGAAAGGUUACGGCUCAACCGUGACAUUGCGCUCUAGACUGAUUGGCUCGAGUGAGAUAGGGGUGUGCGGAACUUCCAGUGGAGCGGUGAAAUGUGUUGAUAUUGGAAGGAACGCCGGUGGCGAAAGCAGCACACUGGGUCUUAACUGACGCUGAGGCACGAAAGCCAGGGGAGCGAACGGG
rnacentral:rRNA from 1 species